UACGUAGGGUGCAAGCGUUGUCCGGAAUUAUUGGGCGUAAAGAGCUUGUAGGCGGUUUGUCGCGUCUGCUGUGAAAUUUCGGGGCUCAACCCCGAACUUGCAGUGGGUACGGGCAGACUAGAGUGUGGUAGGGGAGAAUGGAAUUCCCGGUGUAGCGGUGAAAUGCGCAGAUACCGGGAAGAACACCCGUGGCGAAGGCGGUUCUCUGGGACGGUACUGACGCUGAGACGCGAAAGCGUGGGGAGCGAACAGG
rnacentral:rRNA from 1 species